rnacentral:rRNA from 1 species
CAGCCGCCGCGGGAAUACGGAGGGGGCUAGCGUUGUUCGGAAUUACUGGGCGUAAAGCGCACGUAGGCGGCUUUGUAAGUUAGAGGUGAAAGCCCGGGGCUCAACCCCGGAAUUGCCUUUAAGACUGCAGGGCUAGCAGGUGAGAGAGGUGAGUGGAAUUCCGAGUGUAGAGGUGAAAUUCGUAGAUAUUCGGAAGAACACCAGUGGCGAAGGCGGCUCACUGGCUCAUACUGGACGCUGAGGUGCGAAAGCGUGGGGAGCAAACAGGAUUAGAUACCCCCGUAGUCCCUGUCUCUUAUAC